CGAGCACAUGGAAAAGGGCUCGAGACGAAGUACCCAAAGAAUACUCCAUCCUGAAACGGAAUAGACUACCAGUAACAAAAUAAUCAAAUCUGGAGCAAAAGGGGUAGGUGAAGACACACAGUUCUCCCUGUGAGACCGUAAAGAAUUGAGUAGGAUGAAGUGAUCCGUUUGUGUAAUUCUGAAAGAGAAAGUGAAGCAAAGUGAGGGCAGUUUCACAUUACUCCAGACCUUCAGAACAGCUGCUAGUCAGCCUGUCGUUCUCUCAAUGGAAGCCUGAAACCGGAGCCAUGAGUGAAUGCCAAACUUUUCAGGAAAAGACCUACAUGUUCUGCCCCCUGAGCUGAAAACUCCUUGCCAUCAAAGUCAACGAUGCCGCUUUGCUGCGAAGAGAUGUAGAUCUGCUGUUGCCUGCGGACAGCUGGGUUUAACACAGUGGGUGCAAAGAUGUGAAAGAGGGUAAGAAAUGCUCUGGUAUUUGGAGUUCAGCAUUAGGGCUUUGCAGUUUAAUGAAUAAAUUCAUUUAUUUAUACAUGCUUUAUACAUUUAACUAGUUGCAACAUCCCUAAACUACUAUUCUCAAACUGAUUUUCAUUCCAAAUACAAAUUUUCACCAUUAUAAAUGAUAAUUGUAAUUUGAUAAAUUGGUAAUUGAUGUGUCUUUUG